GAUGAACGCUGGCGGCGUGCCUAAUACAUGCAAGUCGAGCGAACAGACGAGGAGCUUGCUCCUCGGACGUGAGCGGCGGACGGGUGAGUAACACGUGGAUAACCUACCUAUAAGACUGGGAUAACUUCGGGAAACCGGAGCUAAUACCGGAUAAUCUAUUGAACCGCAUGGUUGGAUAGUGAAAGACGGUUUUGCGGGCAGUUUUAGAUGGAUCCGCGGCUCAUUAGCUAGUUGGUAGGGUAACGGCUUACCAAGGCUAUGACGGGUAGCCGGCCUGAGAGGGUGACCGGCCACAUUGGGACUGCGGUACGGCCCAGACUCCUACCGGACGCAGCAGUGGGGAAUAUUGCACAAUGGGCCGAAGCCAGAUGCAGCAACGCCGCGUGCGUGAUGAUGUGCUUCGGGUUGUAAACCGCUUUCUCCGUUGAUGAACAGUGAGUGACGGUAAUUGGUCAAGAAGCCCCGGCUAACUACGUG
rnacentral:rRNA from 1 species